rnacentral:rRNA from 1 species
GACGAACGCUGGCGGCGUGCCUAAUACAUGCAAGUAGGACGCAGUUGCGAACGGGUGAGUAACGCGUAGGUACCUGCCUAUUAGAGGGGGAUAACUACUGGAAACGAUAGCUCAUACCGCAUACUCGUAGAUGGACCUGCGUUGUUUUAGCUAGUAGGUAGGGUAAUGGCCUACCUAGGCAACGAUACAUAGCCGACCUGGGGGGGUGGACGGCCACACUGGGAAUGAGACACGGCCCAGACUCCGACGGGAAGCAGCAGUAGGGCAUCUUCGGCAAAGGGGGGAAACCUGACCGAGCAACGCCGCGUGAGUGAAGAAGGUUUUCGGACCGUAAAACUCUGUUGUUAAGGAAGCGGUACAUAACCAGAAAGGGACGGCUAACUACGUGCCAGCAGCCGCGGUAAUAC